rnacentral:rRNA from 1 species
CUGCUCAAUGAUUUUUUAAAUUGCUGUGGUAUUUUGACUAUACAAAGGUAUUGAAAUAAGAUUUUAAUUGAAUGCUAAGAGAAUGGAAUUUCAGAAAAAAACUUUUUUCAAGUUAAAAAUCGAAAUUUUUUUAAUUUGUGCAGAAACAAUUAUUAAUAUUAAGGACAAGAAGACCCUAUGAAUUUAUAAAUUUUAUUUAAUAUGUAACUACUAUUGAAAAAAUUUUAGCUGGGGCGGCGGAAAAAUAUUUAAAACUUUUUUAAAAUAAAAUGACCCAUUAUUAAUGAUUAUAUGUUAAAUACUCUAGGGAUAACAGCGU